UACGGAAGGCAGCAGUGGGGAAUAUUGGACAAUGGGCGAAAGCCUGAUCCAGCCAUGCCGCGUGUGUGAAGAAGGCCUUUUGGUUGUAAAGCACUUUAAGCGAGGAGGAGGCUACUUAGAUUAAUACUCUAGGAUAGUGGACGUUACUCGCAGAAUAAGCACCGGCUAACUCUGUGCCAGCAGCCGCGGUAAUACAGAGGGUGCGAGCGUUAAUCGGAUUUACUGGGCGUAAAGCGUGCGUAGGCGGCUUCUUAAGUCGGAUGUGAAAUCCCUGAGCUUAACUUAGGAAUUGCAUUCGAUACUGGGAAGCUAGAGUAUGGGAGAGGAUGGUAGAAUUCCAGGUGUAGCGGUGAAAUGCGUAGAGAUCUGGAGGAAUACCGAUGGGCGAAGGCAGCCAUCUGGGCCUAAUACUGACGCUGAGGUCGAAAGCAUGGGGAGCAAACAGGAUUAGAUACC
rnacentral:rRNA from 1 species